rnacentral:lncRNA from 1 species
GCUGUCAGCCCCUUCUCUUGGGUCACAGGGCGGGUGGGGUGGCCGGCUGUGCAGCUCGGCUGUGUGCCACCAGCCCUGUGGCAGGCUUCUCUGGCUGCCGAUGCUGGAUGGACUGGAGUGUGGGGCAGGGGACACAGGCCGGAAAAGCUGGGGCAGCCCAGAGUCCCCAGUGUGCAGGUCUUGCUCUCCCCAGGGGGAGGGGCAGCCUACAGACCUCUCCUCCCUCAAGGCCAGGCUCGCCCGUGGGGACAGGGACCAGUCAUCUCCACCUCUGACCCCACCCGACGCCGGUAGGCACCUUCAGUGACCCCUGACUUGUGUCCCUCCAGCUGCGGAGCCGCGACGGCUCUGAGUACCUGAUCCAGCACGACUCGGAGGGCGUCAUCAGCGCCUGGCACCAGGCCAUCGGGCAGGGCAUCGAGGAGCCGCCCGCAGAUCCGGCCCUGGGGGAGGACGUCGAGGCCAGCAGCGCUGACUUCAGGUCCAGCGAGAGGGAGGACGGCACAGGUGGGCCCAGCGGGGCAGGGUACGGGGACGCCCGGGUUGGGACCCAACACCCCGCUGACACCGGGGUCCCCACGCAGCCGCGCCCGCCCCGAGCCCCGGGACCCCCGAGAGCGACCUGAGCCGGGUGCGGCAGAAGCUGCGUAGGUUCCUGCAGAGGCGGCCCGACGCUGCAGUCGCGCUGCGCGAGCGGGGCUACAUCAAGGACCAGGUCUUCGGCUGUGCGCUGGCCACAUUGUGCGCGCGUGAGAAGAGCUCCGUGCCACGCUUCGUGCAGCAGUGCGUGCACGCCGUCGAGGCCCGGGGGCUGGACACGGACGGGCUGUACCGCAUCAGCGGGAACCUGGCCACCAUCCAGAAGCUCCGCUACCACGUGGACCACGAUGAGCGCCUGGACCUGGAUGACGGCCGCUGGACUGACGUCCACGUGCUCACCGGCGCGCUCAAGCUCUUCCUGCGCGAGCUGCCUGAGCCGCUCUUCCCCUUCUCGCACUUCAGCCAGUUCCUCGCAGCCAUCAAGCUGCAGGACCCAGCCCGGCGCGGCCGCUGCGUGCGGGACCUGGUGCGCUCGCUGCCCACUCCGAACCAUGACACUCUGCAGCUGCUGUUCCAGCACCUGCGCCGGGUGGUGGAACAGGGGGAGCAGAACCGCAUGUCAGUGCAGAGUGUGGCCAUCGUGUUCGGGCCCACUCUGCUGCGGCCCGAGACAGAGGAGGGCAGCAUGCCCAUGACCAUGGUGUUCCAGAACCAGGUGGUGGAGCUCAUCCUGCAGCAGUGCGCAGACAUCUUCCCGCCACCCUGAUGGCUGCCACCCACCCUUGUUGCCGCGGGUACGGCGACCUGAAGUGGGGCUUUCUCUGGGGCGUCCUCGGUGGGUGCCAGGGUAGGGGGAGCUUUUGUCUGGAGGGGGAUUCGGUGAGGGUGUUUCCUGGCUCCUUCAGGGAGGCGCCUGGCCAGAGCCCUGUGCAGGUAACCAGGAAGAGCCUGACAGGACCAUGUGACCUCCAGUCUAAGCCUCCCUGGCCCAGGAUGAAGAACUGGCUUCAUCUGCCUUCCUGUCUGUGGAUCCACAUCGGGAUCCAGUCAGUCCACUGUGUCCUGGGCAAGGUUUUUUCACACCCAUGAGCUGCGAGCCCUGGGCCUGCUAUAGAGGAGCUCUGUCAAUACAGAGCCCUGAUGCAGGAAGGAAACCAGCUCUCAAGGCCUCCCUCACCAGGGUGCGGGCUCCAGGGAGGGGACCUGGCCUCUGCCCCCCUUUCCAGCGUGGGCCAGAGAGCAGCCUGCCCCCUGUUCUGGGGGAGGAGCACGUGGCAGGGCCCUCACGCCCCUCUGCCAAGCUGGCCACUGGGGCCUACCUUGCCACAGCGCUGGGAGGGGCCUGGGGGGGACAGCCUCCGGAAAGGAGGGGUGCACCUGCCUAUCCUCAUGCACAAACCGCGGAGGCUGUGGAUCUCAGGCCCCGCCUCCCCCUUCAUGGCUCAGUGAACAAUAGUAGCUCAUUGCAUUGAGCAUCCACACCAGGCCACGCAUCCUGCCCCAGUUACCUUUGUGUCCCUUGCAGUCGGUAUUUAUUGUGUUCUUGUGUGCCAGGCACAUGCUGUCUGCCCCAUGGAGCUGGGGUCCAGGCAAGAGAUGGAGACCUCCUACCAUGCAUCUAAAUAUUUAAAAGAUGCAAAUCAAGCCAAGAACUGUGAAAUAAAAUAUGCUCUAUUCUCCUACUUUA